rnacentral:rRNA from 1 species
GACGAACGCUGGCGGCGUGCCUAACACAUGCAAGUGGGGCGACGAACCAGGCUUCGGCCUGGGGCAAAGCCGCGAACGGGUGAGUAACACGUGGGUAACCUGCCCCGAUGAUUGGGACAACCCGAGGAAACUCGGGCUAAUACCGAAUGUGCCCUCCGACCGCAAGGUCACUGGGGAAAGGAAGCUUCGGCCUCCGCAUCGGGAUGGGCCCGCGGCCCAUUAGCUUGUUGGUGAGGUAACGGCUCACCAAGGCGACGAUGGGUAGCUGGUCUGAGAGGACGAUCAGCCACACUGGGACUGAGACACGGCCCAGACUCCUACGGGAGGCAGCAGUGGGGAAUCUUGCGCAAUGCGCGAAAGCGUGACGCAGCAACGCCGCGUGGGGGAA